rnacentral:rRNA from 1 species
AACGAACGUUAGCGGCGCGCCUAACACAUGCAAGUCGCACGAGAAAGGGCUUCGGCCCCGGUACAGUGGCGCACGGGUGAGUAACACGUGGGUAAUGUUCCCUCAGGCGGGGGAUAACCUUCCGAAAGGAGGGCUAAUACCGCAUAAGACCACGGCCUCGAAAGAGGCUGAGGUAAAAGCAGGCCUCUUCACGAAAGCUUGCACCAGAGGAUCAGCCCACGGCCCAUCAGCUAGUUGGCAGGGUAACGGCCUACCAAGGCUAAGACGGGU